rnacentral:rRNA from 1 species
UAGUCUGCAACUCGACUACAUGGAGCUGGAAUCGCUAGUAAUCGCAGAUCAGAAUGCUGCGGUGAAUACGUUCCCGGGUCUUGUACACACCGCCCGUCACACCAUGGGAGUCGGAAAUGCCCGAAGUCUGUGACCCAACCUACGGGAGGGAGCAGCCGAAGGCAGGUCGGAUGACUGGGUGAAGUCGUAACAAGGUAGC